rnacentral:lncRNA from 1 species
UUGUCUUGGAAAAUAUUGAUACAAUGAUGAUGCCCGGUAAAUCCGGAGGAAUUAUUGAUACUACAAUGAUGCCCGGUUAAUUCGGAGGAAUAUGUGAUAUUAUGAUGAUGCUCGGUUCGAGUCCGAAGAAAUAUGUGAUAUUAUGAUGAUGCCCGGUGCGAGUCCGGAGGAAUAUGUGAUAUUAUGAUGAUGCCCGGUUAUAUGUGAUAUUAUGAUGAUGCCCGAUUCAAGUCCAGAGGAAUAUGUGAUAUUAUGAUGAUGCCCGGUUCGAGUCCGGAGGAAUGUGUGAUAUUAUGAUGAUGCCCGGUUCAAGUUCAGAGGAAUGUGUGAUAUUAUGAUGAUGCCCGGUUCGAGUCCAGAGGAAUGUGUGAUAUUAUGAUGAUGCCCGGUUCGAGUCCAGAGGAAUGUGUGAUAUUAUGAUGAUGCCCGAUUCGAGUCUGGAGGAAUGUGUGAUAUUAUGAUGAUGCCUGGUUCGAGUCCGGAGGAAUGUGUGAUAUUAUGAUGAUGCCCGGUUCGAGUCCGGAGGAAUAUGUGAUAUUAUAAUGAUGCUCAAUGAAUUCGGCGGAAUAUGUUGAUAUUGUGAUGAUGCCCGGUGAAUCCGGAAGAGGUAAGAACAUUUUGAUGCCAUGUGGGACAAAUUUACUUAUAUGCAUUGAUAUUUGUAAUGUUAGGCCGUGUGGGGCCAACCGCCUAUGUUCUAGAAUUAUGAGGUCUCUAUUGGUAAAUUAUUAAUUGUUUCUUAUUCCAAAUCACUAUAUAAGAGGUGUGACCCUUUUUUAUGCUAAACUAGCUACUAGAGGAAAUUUAUGCCUAAUAUUGAGUUAAGGCUUAGUGUUAUAUGUAAAUUUGCAUAAAAAUUCAAGGGCUAACCUAAUAUAUAUACUUGACUUGAAUAAGAGGUUAUAUUAUGAAAUAUUGCCUAGUAAGGUGGCUUAUGUUAUAAUUAGCUACUUCUAAAAUAUGUGAUUAUUAUUUGGAACCUAGAAGCCUAGUAAACUAGUUGGUGGACUUUACUCGAUUAAAAUAUGGAAAUUAGUCCUUAAGGUUGUGACAUGCUUGGUGAUGAUAGAUCUAGUAUUGUGUGAUGGAUAGUUAAAUUAUCUCCUAAUAUGUGAAAUUGAGAUGCCUUAAUUGAUAACUCAUGUCAUGAUGAUGCUAACUAAAAAAUGGCCUUAUGAUAGUUGAAUAACCUACACUAUGGGUGGCUUGUAGUUUUUUCCCCAAUUUGAUGACUAGUGAUUUUAAGACUGGUAAUCUUUUGACUUUUGAAAAAAAUAAGGUUAAUUAGUAUGGACCUUGCGGUAUUUAUCGAUGAAUUAUAGAACUAAUGAUUGCAUGCUAUGCUAUGACAAUGUUGCUUUCUUUAUGUUGAAUUAUGGUAUGGGUACUUGGAAGUGAAUUUCGGUAAUGAGUCAUGGCGAGUUUGUGCUACCCGCGGUUUUUGAUAAAUUGAUGGAGUAGUUGUGCUUUAUGGUAUUAUUGGUUGUAUUCUUUUGUGUACUCUCUGGUGGUAUGGGAGGCCAUGAUGAGUUCUUUGUUUUGCUAUCUUUCAUGUACUUCCCGGUGGUAUGGGAUGUCGUGGUAAGUUCUUGUGUGUAUGUUCUAAAGAUUAUUGAUGAUGAUUAUGGAAAGUAGAUGUUUUUCUAUUGUGUAUAUGGUUGUAUGCUUUCGAAAUAAUACUCAGCUGUUAUGGUGAUUAUGGAGUAUAUUGAAAUAGUAUGUCAUGUUAUUGCUUUAAUAGUAUAGAUGUUGUUACAGUGGUAUCAAAGUAGAUUCAGGUACGAUCCUAUCCCUUGACUUUAAGAUCAUUGUCUUUCUUUAUAUCGUCUUUACAUUAUAUUUGAGCUCAGUUGGCCGAUGAUGCCUACUGAGUACCAGUGUUUUGGUACUCAUACUACACUUCUGUACCUUUUUGGUGCAGGCCUAGGUACAGAGUUGACUAUUCGGAGACAGGGUGAGCUCUUGGGGAUCGAGUUGCCCUCUAUCCCUUCUAUCCUUAUUUGUCUUUUGCUUUCGUGACAUUUGUAGGAGAUUGUUUAAGGCAUUUUAGAUUCCGAGAUUGUAAAGUCCUCUUGUCAAGUUUAGAAGCUCUUGUAUUAAUACUAUCAGGUCGUGGGAUUUGUGUUUGAAUAUCGAUUGUCCUUAGUUGUGAAAUGUUGUUGUUAUAUGUUGUGUUCACAUCUAGGGUCCAAGUUGGACGUUCUUACCAAGGUAACCUAUUGCAAUAGCUCCGGAUUAUGGUAUCGGCUUACCUACCGGUGGGAUGUGGUAGGUGCCAUCAUGACUCGGAAAUUGGGUCAUGACAUCUUGAUGGUCCAAAUAUAGAAUAACGAUUUACUCUACGAUUGUAAAAGCCAGAAGCUAUACAUUUUUAGGUGCAACACUACUAGAGAGAGGAUAUGCAAUCAAUAUUGCCAAAAUUAUAAAAAAUAAACAGUUUGGAGGCAAGAAUAUGAAACUUUUAAUGAAUAAUUAGAUGUUAUAAUUCUGUACACUUGUUAUCAUGUAUCCAUUACGAAAUUCAUCACAGUUAGUUCAACAAACUAACAGUUGCGGAUUCUUUUGUUCUUGAAGGUAUAAAGUUGAUGAACAUCGGCUGGAACCGACUGAUACGAGCAAAGCAUUCUGAAGAUCUGCGGCUACACCUUUUUCGAUGAGUGAUAUGAUAUAAUGCAUGACCAGUGCAUCACAGGGUAAUGUAAUAGGACCAUCACUUGGAAGUCCAAACUCUUCUUCAGACAUGUGCAACAACUGUCUGAUUAUCUCGUGUUGGAGAUAAGCCAACGGAACCACAAAUCGCUUUUGAUCAUUUGUAUAUACCACAAAUUUCCCUUUGCCAACUAUAGAAGAUCUGCUACAACUCUCCGCAUUGUUGUAAUAGGACCUUGGAAAAGAAAUUCUCUUCCUUUGCUUGGCUGCGAACUUUUGCCAUUUUCUUGCCAUCUUGAUGAGUUUCUUGGUACUUAUCAUAUUAAUUUCUUUGGCGUAUAGGAAAGAAAAAAAUUGAUGAUAUUUCAAAAGAUUUGAUUUAGUGCUUUCUUGUUUGAUGAUCAAAAUGGCUUAUGGAAGUAGUUUAUUUAUAACUGAGGCUAGUUGUCAACUUGAGUUAGGUAUGUAAGGCAAAAUCAUGUGCUGCUGUUUAAUAUGGGACCUAUUGAAUUGUGGAUAUGGCUGGUUGUCUAAGUUUAAACAAAGAAGUUUAUGUGUUUAUUCAAUUCUCUGUCACCAUAUCUUUAAAUCAAGUGGUCCACGACGAGUUCAUCGAUUUUAUCCAUUCAUGUGGCUCUUAAAUUAUAAGGGUGUUU